CAGAACAGCUUCUGUUUUCAUCGCUGGAUCGAUUCUGAAUACUGUCACGUUAAUUUGGUGUCGCUAACUAUUGAAAAAAUCAAAAAUUCCUCGAACGGCCCAUUUUACUAUGUAUUCCCCUGUCCUAUUUUACCUUGAUUCUCCAUACUUUUACACCAUUUGGAUGAACUUCGAGUGGGGAAUAUGAAAUAAAGUUACGGCGGGUAGCCUGUAACAAAGUUCCAGUAGCCUACCGCUCGCCGGCAUCUAUUUUAAUCAGGCUAUUCGCCGUUUCGUGUACUGGGUAUGAACUCCAAGAGUUCAUUCCAAUUUGCUAAAAACAUUAUUUUGACGUUGAUGAACCCCAAAACAGUGUUGCAGAAUAUACCGAUUUAUCGAUAUUUAAACCGAUUUUUAAUUUCAAUGCCAAUAAAGCUACUAAAAAUACCGAUUUCUUUUCUCUUACCAAAAAAUAACGAUUUUCAUAUAAGAUCAAUUAAUAUGGGCCCUUUUAGAAAAUGUCUUCACCUUUCCACAUCAAAUCAUCCGGAAAUUGAUUCAGCAGGUUACUAUAAAAACUUCAAAUGAAGUUCAACAACCGAUUCUGAAAUUGAUUGAGCUCAGUAGGUUUCAUUACAUAACAUUAGAAUGAUCUAUAAAUUAAAAACCAAUAAUUUGCAGUUGCAGGUAACUUUUGGUUAGCAUACAUCUUCACACCGAUAAAUACCUUAUUUUUAUUUAGAACUAUACCGAUAUUAGAUUUGUCCCAGUACCAGUAGAAAGUGGAAGUACUCCGGAGCAAACAAAGAGAAAAUCGUUCCUAUGUUCUCUUCUCUUUUUUCUUCUUCCGUUAGCAAACAUGGAGUAAAAAGCAAGUAUUUUUUGCUUCUGUUUGCUCCGGAGCAACUUCUGUGUACUAGAACAAACCUAUUAUACAAAACCAUCUGACAACGCUGCUCUAAAGUGAAAAGUGCUCUUCAACCAUCGAUGACAUCUUUUUUUCCUGUUUUCUCUACCUACCUAAACAUCAGCUGUCUCCCGUUUCCCGAGAGUUCGCCGACCAGUUUUGCUUUCAAACUGAAAAAAACUACAGUUUAACUUCACCAGGCACAAUCAUCAGAAUGAGAUGCAGGAAAAUAUUAACCCAGAAUGGUUUUACCGUCCAGUGUGAGAAACAUUUUACAAAUGAUAAAAAAGGUAUUUGUGCGGAUCUGCGAAUUCGGUUUUUGUGGAAUAAUUCGACCAAAGGCUAUGAUGUAUACUAUAGCAUCGGUGGAGAGUAAGUCCAAUCAUACAGCUUCAUCCCACCCCGGGAGCAGAUGAGCGCUAGCGAAUGUUCUCAGCCACCUGGAGGAGGAGGUUCAGCGCGGAAGAAAUGUUACCAGACUUCGCCGAUCUGGUGUCUGAACUUUUUUUUUUGAUAAUCUCAGAGAUUGGGUGUGCAGAUGGACGGUUGGAGUUCUGGGAGGGAACGACUGGUAACUUUAAGGGUAUAUAUGAAGCCGAAAACACCCACAACAAUGGGGUAACUAACACAUAGCUCGCCGGUGACAAAGUGAUAGUCGCACGGUUGAGUGGAGGAAUCGAUUUUCUGAAACUGGAAACGUACACGCAAGGUUGUCAGAUCGAUUGGGGAUUUACGUCUGCAUAAGGGCGAACCCACGCACGUACCGGUUCGGCAGGAAGCAUUAGGUAAUUUCAGCAAUCCGUCCACAGAGUUGCCAGCUCAACAUCACGCAUCCGACAAGGAGCUUCGAUGUGUCCUGGAGUUUCACCAGCAGCGUCACCGGUGACAUGUUUGGAAGUGGCGAGCGGUACAGUCAUGACUGGCAGCCAGGGCCACACUUUUAAAGUAUUCCGGCUAGAUAGUCACCUAUUGCAGUCCACCCUAAACGGCUAUUGCGGUCCUAUCACAUGUAUUUUCAUAGACCAGUGGCAGGCCGAGAUGGGCGCAUCUGGUUACCAGGAUGGUGUGCUAUGUGUGUGGGACUUGAUACGGGGUGCCUGUAUGUGCAAAAUUGAAGCGACAAAAUUGACGACUCAAUCGUCGCACUUGCCUGUUCCCCGAGUUACGCAAUAUCGCUUGGACUGGACGAACGAAUACGGAUCUGGGAUAGAUUUCAGGGUCGUAUGGGACGACAAUACUGGAGAUGUAGCUCGGGAAGUCAGGCUUGACUGUUCCAAUUCACAGCUAAAUCCGAAGAUUAUGCUACCUGCCAGUGGUUCGGUAAUUUGUGACUACGGAAAUCGAAUGAGAAUCGUUCGUUUCCCACUUGUGGCGGCGGAAAAGUGGUUCGGUCCGGGGAAUCGUAAUCGGCCAGCUGUACAGCUGCAGCCUCCGAACGAAGCCAUUGCUAGCACGAGUCUUUGAUUUGGAAGGAUAGUUGCUGAGGACCAUUCUCACAAUAAGUUGAUAAUAUCCAUUACAUGAUCAAAUGCGCUGAUGGGUAUGAAUAUGCAUGUGUACGGUUUGGUAACCAGUACAAUUUACACCUUUCUAUGCAGUGCACGGCCACCAAUGAUUCUUCCAUAAAUUUAGACAUUGUGCCGAACAAGAGUAAAUUCGCGUAUAUAAAAUAUAUAGGAGGCCCUAUUUUCACAGUCACGUCACUUAGUGACUAGAAGGAAAUUUUCUUCUAGUCACUAGGUGACGUGACUGUGAGAAUAGGGGCUUGGAGCAUAUCGCUGUCUGUGCACGGAACUGAACAUGAUUAAAUUUUUGGCUCACGCGCAUUUAAACGAUCACUUAGCCUAUGUGUCCGCAUG